rnacentral:piRNA from 1 species
UCCCAGGAUGAUAACCUGCGCCUAGACAACCU